rnacentral:rRNA from 1 species
CAGUCGCCGCGGUAAUACGGAGGGAGCUAGCGUUGUUCGGAAUUACUGGGCGUAAAGCGCACGUAGGCGGUUAUUCAAGUCAGAGGUGAAAGCCCGGGGCUCAACCCCGGAACUGCCUUUGAAACUAGAUGACUGGAAUCUUGGAGAGGUCAGUGGAAUUCCGAGUGUAGGGGUGAAAUUCGUAGAUAUUCGGGAGAACACCAGUGGCGAAGGCGACUGACUGGACAAGUAUUGACGCUGAGGUGCGAAAGCGUGGGGAGCAAACAGGAUUAGAUACCCCCGUAGUCCCUGUCUCUUAUAC